GACAGAGGGUGCAAACGUUGUUCGGAAUUACUGGGCGUAAAGCGCGUGUAGGCGGCAAGGCAAGUCGGAUGUGAAAGCCCACGGCUCAACCGUGGAAGUGCACCCGAAACUGCCUAGCUAGAGUCUCGGAGAGGAAGGUGGAAUGCUUGGUGUAGAGGUGAAAUUCGUAGAUAUCAAGCGGAACACCGGUGGCGAAGGCGGCCUUCUGGACGAUGACUGACGCUGAGACGCGAAAGCGUGGGGAGCAAACGGG
rnacentral:rRNA from 1 species